UACAGAGGUCCCAAGCGUUGUUCGGAUUUACUGGGCGUAAAGGGUGCGUAGGCGGUCGGGUAAGUCUGAUGUGAAAUCUCCGAGCUUAACUCGGAAAAUGGCAUUGGGUACUAUUCGGCUGGAGAGUUGGAGGGGGGACUGGGAAUACUUGGUGUAGCAGUGAAAUGCGUAGAUAUCAAGUGGAACACCAGUGGCGAAGGCGAGUCCCUGGACGAACUUCUGACGCUGAGGCACGAAAGCUAGGGGAGCAAACAGG
rnacentral:rRNA from 1 species